GACGAACGCUGGCGGCGUGCUUAACACAUGCAAGUCGAACGGAAAGGCCCUGCUUUUGUGGGGUGCUCGAGUGGCGAACGGGUGAGUAACACGUGAGUAACCUGCCCUUGACUUUGGGAUAACUUCAGGAAACUGGGGCUAAUACCGGAUAGGAGCUCCUGCUGCAUGGUGGGGGUUGGAAAGUUUCGGCGGUUGGGGAUGGACUCGCGGCUUAUCAGCUUGUUGGUGGGGUAGUGGCUUACCAAGGCUUUGACGGGUAGCCGGCCUGAGAGGGUGACCGGCCACAUUGGGACUGAGAUACGGCCCAGACUCCUACGGGAGGCAGCAGUGGAGAAUAUUGCACAAUGGGCGGAAGCCUGAUGCAGCAACGCCGCGUGCGGGAUAACGGCCUUCGGGUUGUAAACCGCUUUCGCCUGUGACGAAGCGUGAGUGACGGUAAUGGGUAAAGAAGCACCGGCUAACUACGUG
rnacentral:rRNA from 1 species